rnacentral:pre_miRNA from 1 species
GAUUUUAAUUGAAAAAAUCAUCAACAACAAAGUUGAAUAACUCAUCAAGAUCUAAAACUUUUAUUUUUGUUAUUUCUUCAUCCGACGAAAUGUUAGUAAUAUUAUUCACAAAUUUUACAUAUAUGUGUUAUAGUUUAUAAAACCAGAUAAGAGAUAUGUCAAUUUUGUGAACAAUGUUACUAUCACUUUGUCGUAUGAAGAAAUGACCAAAAUAAAAGUUUUAGAUCUUGAUGAGUUAUUCAACUUUGUUGUUGAUGACUUUUUCAGUUGAUAUC